rnacentral:rRNA from 1 species
GUCGUACGCACUGGCCCAACUGAUUAGAUGGUGCUUGCACCUGAUUGACGAUGGAUCACCAGUGAGUGGCGGACGGGUGAGUAACACGUAGGUAACCUGCCCCGGAGCGGGGGAUAACAUUUGGAAACAGAUGCUAAUACCGCAUAACAACAAAAGCCACAUGGCUUUUGUUUGAAAGAUGGCUUUGGCUAUCACUCUGGGAUGGACCUGCGGUGCAUUAGCUAGUUGGUAAGGUAACGGCUUACCAAGGCGAUGAUGCAUAGCCGAGUUGAGAGACUGAUCGGCCACAAUGGAACUGAGACACGGUCCAUACUCCUACGGGAGGCAGCAGUAGGGAAUCUUCCACAAUGGGCGCAAGCCUGAUGGAGCAACACCGCGUGAGUGAAGAAGGGUUUCGGCUCGUAAAGCUCUGUUGUUGGAGAAGAACGUGCGUGAGAGUAACUGUUCACGCAGUGACGGUAUCCAACCAGAAAGUCACGGCUAACUACGUGCCAGCAGCCGCGGUAAUACGUAGGUGGCAAGCGUUAUCCGGAUUUAUUGGGCGUAAAGCGAGCGCAGGCGGUUGCUUAGGUCUGAUGUGAAAGCCUUCGGCUUAACCGAAGAAGUGCAUCGGAAACCGGGCGACUUGAGUGCAGAAGAGGACAGUGGAACUCCAUGUGUAGCGGUGGAAUGCGUAGAUAUAUGGAAGAACACCAGUGGCGAAGGCGGCUGUCUGGUCUGCAACUGACGCUGAGGCUCGAAAGCAUGGGUAGCGAACAGGAUUAGAUACCCUGGUAGUCCAUGCCGUAAACGAUGAGUGCUAGGUGUUGGAGGGUUUCCGCCCUUCAGUGCCGGAGCUAACGCAUUAAGCACUCCGCCUGGGGAGUACGACCGCAAGGUUGAAACUCAAAGGAAUUGACGGGGGCCCGCACAAGCGGUGGAGCAUGUGGUUUAAUUCGAAGCUACGCGAAGAACCUUACCAGGUCUUGACAUCUUGCGCUAACCUUAGAGAUAAGGCGUUCCCUUCGGGGACGCAAUGACAGGUGGUGCAUGGUCGUCGUCAGCUCGUGUCGUGAGAUGUUGGGUUAAGUCCCGCAACGAGCGCAACCCUUGUUACUAGUUGCCAGCAUUAAGUUGGGCACUCUAGUGAGACUGCCGGUGACAAACCGGAGGAAGGUGGGGACGACGUCAGAUCAUCAUGCCCCUUAUGACCUGGGCUACACACGUGCUACAAUGGACGGUACAACGAGUCGCAAGCUCGCGAGAGUAAGCUAAUCUCUUAAAGCCGUUCUCAGUUCGGACUGUAGGCUGCAACUCGCCUACACGAAGUCGGAAUCGCUAGUAAUCGCGGAUCAGCAUGCCGCGGUGAAUACGUUCCCGGGCCUUGUACACACCGCCCGUCACACCAUGGGAGUUUGUAACGCCCAAAGUCGGUGGCC